GCCUCCGUCCUCCCCUGCUGCGGGAGGUGCUGGUGCAGCGACGGUGGGGGAAGGAGCACGUGGCAGGGGUCCCAGACCUUGAUGUUGGGGCCGAGGAGGCGUGGGGUGCCCGUUACGGAUGGUUGCGGCGAGAGCGGCGAGUCGGCGGCUCGGCAGGGUAGCACCUCGGGCUCCUGCUCCAGCACCUUGGACGCAGAGGCCGGUGGAGCCGGCGCUUGGGCGGGAGGGGGCCGGGCCGAGGGCUCCGAGGCUGAGGCAGUCGAUGGAUCAUCGUCGCCUUCGUCGGCCGCGGUAGAGAUGGAGGAGUGGGACGAAUGUGCAGAGCCCAUUGUGCGCGGCCGUGGUGGGCGGCGAGAUCUGACCUGGAGGUGGGAUGGGUGCGAAGUGCGGAGAGUGAAGAGGAGCAAGGCCAUCUCCGUGGCAGUCCAUCAAAAAGCGUGUAAACAUCCGCACAGCACGGUCCAAACAAUUUAUUUUAUCCAACGCUCCUGCAUCAAUGGUCUGGCCCACUAG
rnacentral:rRNA from 1 species